GUGCCAGCAGCCGCGGUAAUACGGAGGGUGCAAGCGUUAAUCGGAAUAACUGGGCGUAAAGCGCACGCAGGCGGUUUGAUUAGUCAGAUGUGAAAUCCCCGAGCUCAACUUGGGAACUGCAUUUGAAACUGUCAAACUAGAGUCUUGUAGAGGGGGGUAGAAUUCCAGGUGUAGCGGUGAAAUGCGUAGAGAUCUGGAGGAAUACCAGUGGCGAAGGCGGCCCCCUGGACAAAGACUGACGCUCAGGUGCGAAAGCGUGGGGAGCAAACAGGAUUAGAUACCCGUGUAGUCC
rnacentral:rRNA from 1 species